UGAACCACGGAUCAGCAAGCCAAACUUCUGAUGACUGAGAUACUGUUAAAGACUGAGAAAAAGCAACUUAAUAAGCCAAGAAAACACCAGUAGAAAAAUACAGGACCCCCCGUUAUUUCCGCUGAGGCUGAGAUAAAAGGGCUGUUGGUGAAGAAGCAAUCCAUAUCUGGUGGGGGGGAUUUUUCAAUAUCCCAUGGAAUUGGUAAGGUACAUUUUUGUGUUCAUUACUACAGAUAAAGACAUGUCUCACUCACCCUGCUGGUGAGUCCACCAACAUGGACAGAAAGUUUGGUCCAGAUUUCUGUCAAGACCAGCUACUAGCCACCUCCUCAAAUGCUUAAAUUUGCAGGCAGAGAUACUAAUAAGAACUUCAGCAGUAGCUUAUGGUAUUUAUGCAUUCUGAGUCCUAGAUAUUGAAAAAGUGUGAAAUAAGAGGUUACUUCUUUACCCUCUUCUAUUUAUGCAGACCCGCAUGCACAUAAUUCAGUCAGAGGGAAGAUAUGAGCAACUAUACUGGAAGACACUGUCAUGCAUCUGCCUCUUCUAAUGUGUUUGCCCAUCCUGAACAUGUGGGAUCUUCUGUACCUCAGAGAACCAGAAGAGCCUUUAGAGUGAAAGGAAGCAUUUCUCCCUUUUUUUUUCUUUUUUUUUUAUUACUAGCUGGGGUAACAGCUGGCAUGAAGUUUCCUUCCACAGAAGAUAGAAGAGCCUGGAACAAAUUGCCCACCAAUGACUGAGCAAU